CACAGCUUCAGAGAGGAGUACUGUCACAGAGACCUCUGUAGUCAGGUCUUCAGGAUUAGGUGAAAUCCAGUGGAGUCCAGCAGUUCUGCUCUUUCACAUGGCACUAAGUAGUGGUGGGGAGAUGACCACAGUUCCCGUACCACCUUCACAGCCAAGCUGCAUAGAGCACUGGAGCCUGGUGAUGACACUCAGUGCCUGCAGGGCAGCAUGAUGAGUCAAACAGAGAGAAAAAUCUCGGAAUGGAGCACUCCACAUGCUGAAAAAGAUGGGAAGCCAGCAUUCAGAUAUCUCACAGUCAGACAGCAUCAGUAUCAGAUGAUUCUGAUCAGUUUUCCAAGGCAAAGUUCAUAUUGCUGAGAAAAGGCUAGCAUCCUGGUCUACAGUGCUUCAUUCUAUGACACCAUUAGGAAACAGGCCCAAACAGGCUCUCAGAGUAGCUGGGGAAUUACUGACAGAAAGAAAAGACAAUUUUCUUCACCAACUGGUCCCCAAGCCUUAUUUACUGGUAAUUAAUAAAAGAAUCAGAAAAUACUUCCCACUGUUUCUAGGCCUUACCUAACAUCUUAAAUUAUAAUCUCUCUACAAUAUUAGGAGAUUCAAAGUGAGCACAUCACCUAAAUAGAUAAGAGAGAA